AGAAAGUAGAAAGAAUAGAAAAAAAAAAAAUAAUAAUAAUAAUAAUAAUAAAAACGACGUCGUUUUAGAGAGGGGAAAAACGACGUCGUUUUGAAAGAAAGAAAAACGACGUCGUUUUGGGAUGUAGGAAAACGAUGUCGUUUUGGGGUAGGCUGGCAGAGUAUAAAAGGAGGUCGGAAAAGGGAGAAGGAGGAAGAGAGGAGAAAAGAAAAAAAAAAAGAAAGAAAAGGAAAAAGAGAAAAAGAGAAAAGGAGGGAAGGAGGACAGCGGAGACGAAGAAGAAGAGGAAAGUUCCAGAAGGAGAGAGGAGAGAGUCGGGGCGGAGGGGAGCGAGAAGGGAGAGGGAAGGAGGUCGUGGACGGACGACGCGACCGGCAGGAAGAAGGAGGAUGGAAACGGGAGGUACGGUGAAAAUUUGAGUUGUUUGGUGUGGUGUGUGUGUGUAGAGAAAUUUGGUUGCAGGUUGCGGCGUCGGCAAUGGCGCGACGGAGUGGAGCAGUGAAGGUAGGCCGUAAGCGUGGGGUUGUCCCGCGCGCUCACGGAGGUGAUCGGGGAAGGAAGGGAAAGUAUGGCGGUGUUGGGGGCGUGUGGGGGGGAGCCGUGGGGAAGGAUGGGGGUGGUACGGGUAGAACAGAGUGAGGAGGAUGUGAGAGAACAAUCUAGGGGGCGCGGGUGGGAUAAAAACUCGAGAGGACAGAAGAGGUGUGUGUGUGGUGUGUGCGUGGGUGGGGAUGUGGAGGGAGCCGUUAAUAGGCGGUGAUGUGUUUCCCCGAAAUGCACGGUGGUGAGGGCGUGUAUGUGGCGUGAAACGGUGCAAGCUGAGAGGUUAAUCGCCCUAGGUAGGCAAAAGUGUAUAGGAACCGGGAGGAGGCAGGAGGAUGGGGGAGGUAGUGGGUAGGGGGCAGUGGAAGAGGGAAGGGAGCUGGAAGGUACGGCAGAGGGGACUAGGAAGCAGGAUUUGAGGGGGAUUGGAUGGGAGAAGAGGAGUAAUGUGGUCAGUAGGAGUUAGUAAGUUAGAAUGCUUGGGACUAGCAUGGUAUAAGGGGAGAUGGGAGCAUGCGGUUUGGGAGGGGAGAUUUGGAGGCCGUUGGUAGGGGCGGGUUGAGUUGCCGAUGUUGGUGGAGCAGGGAGGGGAUAUGUAUGUGAGUGUGGCCUAGCAAGGCCGAGAGGGGUAGAAGGGUGCAUGAGUCACGGAUGGUGGUGACGGGAGGUGGAAAUGUUUGUGUGUGUGCGUGGCCCAACGAGGUCGAGAGAUGGAGGAGUGAGUAUGAGUCGCCGAUGUUGGUGACGCGAGAGGAUGGUAUUUGUGUGUGUGUGUGGCCUCUUUAGGUCGAGAGGUGGAGGAGUGAGUAUGAGUCGCCGAUGUUGGUGACGCAAGACGAUGGUAUUUGUGUGUGUGUGUGGCCUCUUUAGGUCGAGAGGUGGAGGAGUGAGUAUGAGUCGCCGAUGUUGGUGACGCGAGAUGAUGACAUUUGUGUGUGUGUGUGGCCUCUUUAGGUCGAGAGGUGGAGGAGUGAGUGUGAGUCGCCGAUGUUGGUGACACAGAAUAAUGGUGUGUGGGUGUGUGCGUGGCCUAUUAGGUCGAGAGGUGGAGAUAUAGGUGUGAGUCGCCGAUAUUGGUGACGUGGAAUGAAGGUGGUUGGGUGUGUGUGUGUGUGGCCUCGUGAGGUCGGGAGAUGGGGGAAGAGUGUAUGAGUCGCCGAUGUUGGUGACGAGAGUUAGUGGAUGAUUGUUGGGUGGGGGGGGGGGUUGUUUGGCCGUGCUAUUGCCUUGGAAUGGGACCUUGAUAAUUAGUGUAGGGAGAGGGUUAUGAGUUGUUUGGGGUUGGGUAGGAUAAAUGCAUAUAGACAUUUCUGGAAAUUCUUGUCACUGCAUAUUACACUUACAACUUGAUUUUUAUCGUAUUGAGUUAUGUGAACUCACUUCUCAUCAUUCACAGGUGGAGUAAGGACGGAAUUGGGAUCCGAGCGGCUGGUAACGGAGCCCCGUCGGUAGUGCCAUAGGGCACAAGUUUUGUUUGUGAUUUAAAGUAGUUUGAUAGGAUGGUUUAGUCUGGAUAUUGAAUAUCUAGGAAUGUUUGAUAUUGUAUUACUAUGUGUUGUAGAGGUGGAGAUGUAUGUACAAUUGAUUUGGAACAUGGAAGGUGGAUAUCUCUUGUGCAUGGUUGGAAUAAUAUGGUUUUCGGUAUUGUGUUGUAUGGGUGCUUUAUCGUACACCGUUAAGAAAAAAAAAACGGGGUGUUACA
rnacentral:lncRNA from 1 species